ensembl:lncRNA
GGAUGUAAGAUGGCACAGCCACCCGGGAAACAGGUUGGAGAUCACUCACGCCGGGCUGGUGGGAUGUAAGACGGCACAGCCGCCCGGAAAACAGGUUGGAGAUCACUCACGCGGGGCUGGUGGGAUGUAAGAUGGCACAGCCGCCCGGAAAACAGGUUGGAGAUCACUCAAACAGGUUGGAGAUCACUCACGCCAGGCUGGUGCGAUGUAAGAUGGCACAGCCGCCCGGGAAACAGGUUGGAGAUCACUCACGCCCAG